CAUGCUUCUCCUACUCUUUUCAAUGCAAGGACACCAAGGCCUCAAUUGAGUAGAGGCUUCCAUGUGUGCAUGAUAGAGGACAAUAUUGAAGGAAUAUACGACACUUUGAAGGAGUGUGCUGUUAUUAGUAAAUCUGCUGGAGGAAUUGGAGUUUCUGUACACAACAUCGAUGCCACUAGUCUUAGCUUUGAAGGAUCUUUCUCUGGAUGGAACACUGGCUCCUGAAAUUUGUAAUCUUUUG